GAUGAACGCUGGCGGCGUGCCUAAUACAUGCAAGUCGAGCGAACAGACGAGGAGCUUGCUUCUCUGACGUUAGCGGCGGACGGGUGAGUAACACGUGGAUAACCUACCUAUAAGACUGGGAUAACUUCGGGAAACCGGAGCUAAUACCGGAUAAUAUAUUGAACCGCAUGGUUCAAUAGUGAAAGACGGUUUUGCUGUCACUUAUAGAUGGAUCCGCGCCGCAUUAGCUAGUUGGUAAGGUAACGGCUUACCAAGGCAACGAUGCGUAGCCGACCUGAGAGGGUGAUCGGCCACACUGGAACUGAAACACGGUCCAGACCCCUACGGGAGGCAGCAGUAGGGAAUCUUCCGAAAUGGGCGAAAGCCUGACGGAGCAACGCCGCGUGAGUGAUGAAGGUCUUCGGAUCGUAAAACUCUGUUAUUAGGGAAGACCAAAUGUGUAAGUAACUAUGCACGUCUUGACGGUACCUAAUCAGAAAGCCACGGCUAACUACGUG
rnacentral:rRNA from 1 species